CUCCACGAAGUUGGAUUCGCUAGUAAUCGCGCAUCAGCCAUGGCGCGGUGAAUACGUUCCCGGGCCUUGUACACACCGCCCGUCAAGCCAUGGGAGCCGGGGGCGCCUGAAGUCCGGGACCGCGAGGACCGGCCUAGGGCGAAACUGGUAACUGGGGCUAAGUCGUAACAAGGUACC
rnacentral:rRNA from 1 species